AGUGAACGCUGGCGGCAGGCCUAACACAUGCAAGUCGAGCGGCAGCGGGUUCCCGCGAGGGGAUGCCGGCGAGCGGCGGACGGGUGAGGAACACAUCGGAAUCUGCCUGGUUGUGGGGGAUAACGUAGGGAAACUUACGCUAAUACCGCAUGCGACCCUGAGUCGACGGACUGGGGGUGAAAGUGAGGGACCUUCGGGCCUCACGCGACCAGAUGAGCCGAUGUCGGAUAGCUAGUUGGCGGGGUAACGGCCCGCCAAGGCGACGAUCCGUAGCUGGUCUGAGAGGAUGAUCAGCCACACUGGGACUGAGACACGGCCCAGACUCCUACGGGAGGCAGCAGUGGGGAAUCUUGGACAAUGGGCGCAAGCCUGAUCCAGCCAUGCCGCGU
rnacentral:rRNA from 1 species